rnacentral:rRNA from 1 species
UGGGGAAUAUUGCACAAUGGAGGGAACUCUGAUGCAGCGACGCCGCGUGAGUGAUGAAGGAAUUCGUUUCGUAAAACUCUGUUCUAUGGGAAGAAAAGGACUGUACCAUAGGAGAAAGCUUCGGCUAAAUACGUGCCAGCAGCCGCGGUAAUACGUAUGGAGCGAGCGUUGUCCGGUAUUAUUGGGCGUAAAGGGUGCGCAGGCGGCUUUACAAGUUGGAUGUGAAAUAUUGUGGCUCAACCACAAACGUGCAUCCAAAACUGCAAAACUUGAGUUAAGGGGAGGUAGGUGUAAUUCCUGGUGUAGCGGUGGAAUGCGUAAAUAUCAGGAGGAAUACCGGUGGCGAAGGCGACUUACUGGACUUAAACUGACGAGCAGGGACGAAAGCGUGGGGAGCAAACAGG